rnacentral:lncRNA from 1 species
GACAAGAGUGUGAUAGAUACCUAUAACAGUGUAACAUAUUAUUUGAUUAAAAAAUUAAAGCCAUUUAAAAAGUAAUGUCCCGUUAUAUAUCAUCCAUAUCUUUUUUAUUAUGUAUCACAUAUGAGAGGUGUGCGAUAACACAUUUUUUUAAUCCCUCAUUCCAUGAAAAUUAUGACAUUUUUGGCGUCCAUUAAAAGUAUGACACUUUCCUUUUGGCCCCACAUCUUUUUCUUAUCUUUUAUCCUACAAAUACUCCUUAUUUACAAAAAAAAAAAAAA